rnacentral:rRNA from 1 species
UACGUAGGGUGCAAGCGUUAAUCGGAAUUACUGGGCGUAAAGCGUGCGCAGGCGGUUCUAUAAGACAGAUGUGAAAUCCCCGGGCUCAACCUGGGAACUGCAUUUGUGACUGUAGAGCUGGAGUACGGCAGAGGGGGAUGGAAUUCCGCGUGUAGCAGUGAAAUGCGUAGAUAUGCGGAGGAACACCGAUGGCGAAGGCAAUCCCCUGGGCCUGUACUUACGCUCAUGCACGAAGGCGUGGGGAGCAAACAGG